CCUACGGGAGGCAGCAGUGGGGAAUUUUGGACAAUGGGCGAAAGCCUGAUCCAGCCAUUCCGCGUGAGUGAAGAAGGCCUUCGGGUUGUAAAGCUCUUUCGCAAGGAAAGAAAACUUAUCUCCUAAUACGGGGUGAGGAUGACGGUACCUUGAUAAGAAGCACCGGCUAACUACGUGCCAGCAGCCGCGGUAAUACGUAGGGUGCGAGCGUUAAUCGGAAUUACUGGGCGUAAAGCGUGCGCAGGCUGUUUUGUAAGUCAGAUGUGAAAUCCCUGGGCUCAACCUAGGAACUGCGUUUGAAACUACAAGGCUAGAGUGUAGCAGAGGGGGUAGAAUUCCACGUGUAGCAGUGAAAUGCGUAGAGAUGUGGAGGAAUACCAAUGGCGAAGGCAGCCCCCUGGGUUAACACUGACGCUCAUGCACGAAAGCGUGGGGAGCAAACAGGAUUAGAUACCCUGGUAGUCCACGCCCUAAACGAUGUCUACUAGUUGUUGGGAGAGUAAAAUCUCUUAGUAACGCAGCUAACGCGUGAAGUAGACCGCCGNGAGGAGGUACGGUCGUCGAGUAAGUUAAACGUUAACGUAAGUUAAGUUAGAGGCGNGAGAGNGCGACGACGACGACGAGGAGGAGG
rnacentral:rRNA from 1 species